rnacentral:rRNA from 1 species
UACAGAGGGGGCAAGCGUUAUUCGGAAUUACUGGGCGUAAAGCGCGCGUAGGCGGCUUUGUAAGUCGGUUGUGAAAUCCCCGGGCUUAACCUGGGAACUGCAUCCGAGACUGCAUAGCUAGAGUAUGGGAGAGGGAAGUGGAAUUUCAGGUGUAGCGGUGAAAUGCGUAGAUAUCUGAAGGAACAUCAGUGGCGAAAGCGACUUCCUGGACCAAUACUGACGCUCAUGUGCGAAAGCGUGGGGAGCAAACGGGG